GUUGAGAUUUACUUUUACCAACUUCGCUCAAGUGCGACGUUCAUGCCUGUUUUGAUUGUUAUUCUAACAUUACAUUGUCAGACAUUUGAUGACAUUCUUUGUAAACAUAAUAAGGAUUUCCACUAACCAACAUCAUAAAUCCUGUUUCCAACAUAAAACCUCAAUAACACUAUAAACACUGCAUAUUAAAUCGAGAUCUUUCCAGAAAUUUUUUAACUUUUCUUACCUACGAUGGAUCAUGAUUUACACAUUGUGUUGUUUCUGUGAAAUAACAAACAAAACAAUGCCAGCGAAGUUGUUUUGGAUUCGAUAAAGCACUUUUUCACUGAAUCACAGUCGAUAGUCCAAGCAUAGUUGGCUAUUUGCUGUAUUUAAACGAUAGAGAAAAAUUGUAGUUUCUUCCAUUCAACUCUUCCUAAAUUGUGGAUAGUCCAACUUUCAAUGUAGGCCUUACAUUAACCCAACAAUACAACCACCAAAAGUCUAUUGUUUUCUGUUUUUCGAUACUUUUUUAAGUGAACAACCCCGUAUUUGCUUGAUGAGGAAGAUGAUAUAGAUUGUAGGCAAGUCAUCGUGGUUGUCUGUUUGGGUACAGGGAUGGUUAGGGGGUUGUAAAAAAAAUAUGUUAGUACACAGUAUGAACAUAGUUAAAACCACAUAUUGUUUUGAGCAUGUAUAACACAAAAAAAAUAGAGACAAAAAUAAACUGAUAAUUAAAUCAAAGUUGAUAGUACAAUCAUAGUUUAGAUCUGCUGUUUUUAAACAAUUGAGAAAAAUUGUAGUUUCCGUCAUUUAAUUCAUCAUAAGUUCGGGAUAGUCCAAUUUAGGCCUUACAUUUACACAACAAUACAACCACCAACAGGCUAGCGUUUUCUCUGUUUUUCAACACUUUUUAAGCAAAUAACCCAUCAUUUCUUACUUGUUGGAUGAGGAUGAUGACUUAGAUUGUUGUAGACAAGUCAUCGUUGUUGUCUGUUUGGGCGUACGAUGGUUAAGGGGUUGUGUUCACAACUCAUGAUAAUUCACAGAAUAAGCAUAGUUGUUUCGAGCAUAACAAAAAUAAAGUGAUAAUUCGAGCUUGUUCGUCCUCUGCUGGUUUUAAACAAAUGAGUCAAAUUGUAGUUUCUUCCAUUCAACUCUUCCUAAAUUGUGGAUAGUCCAACUUUCAAAGUAGGCCUUACAUUAACCCAACAAUACAACAACCAAAAGUCUAUUGUUUUCUGUUUUUCGAUACUUUUUUAAGUGAACAACCCCGUAUUUGCUUGAUGAGGAAGAUGAUAUAGAUUGUAGGCAAGUCAUCGUGGUUGUCUGUUUGAUUACAGGGAUGGUUAGGAGGUUGUAAAAAAAAUAUGUUAGUACACAGUAUGAACAUAGUUAAACCCACAUAUUGUUUUGAGCAUGA